GAAGAAAAAGGUGUUUAAAAAAAUAAAUAAAUAAAAAUAAAAAAGCUGAAAGAUGCCCUGUUUCUGGAGAAUAAGCGGUAGGAAGGAACAGGGAAUAGGUCCACAUUGUCUUAUGCCCUUCGUGAGUGAAAAGUGGAACAUUUGGCCAAGAUCAUCUCAUUCCUGUGCUGUUUGGGACCUGACCUUCCUUUCUAGGCCUUCUACCAGCAUGUGUAAGUUUCAUCCUUUUCUUACUAUGGCAGGGUAACAUAACCAGGACAGUAAAGGCUUUCUGAACAUUAUAUAGCUGUUGUUAGUGGAACCUGUUCCAGAAAGGGAACUACAAAAAGCAGGUGGAGCCCGCCUUUGUUCUUUAUGCUUCAGACAGCUGAAGACAGGGAAGAACUGGAUCCCCACCAAAAAGCAAAUACGGCAGCAUAUCACACUUUUGCCACAAAUUAGAGCUUGGAAAUAAUCUAGAAAACAGUGGAAUAAAGAAGUCUAAAUUCUCACAGGGAAAA